rnacentral:rRNA from 1 species
UACGUAGGUGGCAAGCGUUGUCCGGAUUUACUGGGCGUAAAGGGCGCGUAGGCGGCGACUCAAGUUAGAUGUGAAAGUCCUGGGCUUAACCUGGGGACUGCAUUUGAUACUGGGUUGCUUGAAUUCGGGAGAGGAUAGCGGAAUUCCCAGUGUAGAGGUGAAAUUCGUAGAUAUUGGGAAGAACACCGGUGGCGAAGGCGGCUAUCUGGACCGACAUUGACGCUGAGGCGCGAAAGCGUGGGGAGCAAACAGG